UCAAGACGGGUGAAAUGGGUGGAUUAUGUCGUCGGUGGCAGUGUGGAGGGUUAGGGGAGAACGCCCGAAGGCGCUCCCAUUUGUAACCCUCGUCUCGCUAUCGAUGACUCGGCGUCGGCAGUACACCGCCCACGAGGGGCGGCUGAAACCUCGGCCACUCUCCACUCAUUUCCUUCCCUAUCAACAAUUUCACAUACUAUUUCACUCUCUUUUCAAAGUUCUUUUCACCUUUCCUUCACAGUACUUGUUCGCUAUCGGUCUCUCACCAGUAUUUAGCUUUAGAUGGAGUUUACCACCCACUUUGAGCUGCAUUCCCAAACAACUCGACUCUUUGAUAAGGCAAUACAUGGAGAACGGUUAGCCAGACGGGGUUGUCACCCUCUAUGACGUACUAUUCCAAGCAACUUGGGUUAGCUUUCUCCAAUGCCAAAUCUUCAAAUUACAAUCCCGAGGGUUUCAAAUUUGAGCUUUUGCCGCUUCACUCGCCGUUACUG
rnacentral:rRNA from 1 species